rnacentral:rRNA from 1 species
UACGGAGGGUGCAAGCGUUAUCCGGAUUCACUGGGUUUUAAAGGGUGCGUAGGUGGGCAGGUAAGUCAGUGGUGAAAUCUCCGGGCUUAACCCGGAAACUGCCAUUGAUACUAUCAGUCUUGAAUACCUGGAGGUAAGCGGAAUAUGUCAUGUAGCGGUGAAAUGCUUAGAUAUGACAUAGAAACACCAAUUGCGAAGGCAGCUUACUACCCCAA